rnacentral:lncRNA from 1 species
CAUUUAUUCAGAGAGCAGGGGGUGGGAGGUGAAACCGGUUCUCUGUGUGGCCCUGCCUAUCCCAGACCUGAGUCUGUAGACCAGGCUGGCCUCCACCUCAAAGAGCACCUGCCUCUGGCUCUGGAGUGUUGGGAUUAAAGGUGAGUACUACCAUACCCAGCUAGCCCAGUGGUGAUGCCUAUAAUCCCAUAACGUGGAGGAUGAGGCAGGAGGAUCAUGAGAAGUUUGAGGUCAGCUCAGACUAAAUAUCCUGGCUCAAAAAAAUUAGGGCUGGGAGUCAGAACAGCCUGUAAAAUGCUUGUUUCCCAAGAAUGAUGUCCCAGGUUUGUCCCCAAAACCCACCUGGAAAACUACAUGAAGUGACAUACUUGUAGGCUCAGCACUGGUAAUGUAGGGAGAGAAUUCCUGAGCUUCCCUGAGGAGCCAGCAAUCCUGGGACCAGUGAGAGGCCUGUAUCAGAAAACAAGGUGGCACUCUGUCACAAAGAGCACUAAAGGCUGUCCUCUGACUUCCACGUGUGCAUGGCAUCUGCACACACACGAACACAGGCACACACAAAUUUUAAAAACUGCUUUGUAGCCUUGAGUUUAUUGGAGAAUACUAAUAUUGGUAAAUGAAUUUCCCUAAAAUCGGUCUUUCAUGGGUCUAGACAUUUUUGCUAGAUAUUUUAUCUUUUGUCUGCAUAUAUGUCCGUGUACUUGAAAGUGAGGAGGCAGAAGAGGGCUCUGAUCCCCUGGAGCUAGAGUUACAAAAGGCUACGAGCUGCCAUGUGGGUGCCGAGAAUGGAACCUCGGUGCUGUGAAGAGUAUCAGUGCUCUCAACCACUGAGGUUACUCUUAUCAUAUAUUCUGAAGGCUGCUUUAUCUCUUCAAAAUGAGUCGUUUCUGCCCACAUCUCAGAUAGCCUGUCAGGGUACUCCAUCAUGUUAGUUUGCACUUGGUCACAUGAUUCUCCAUGACUUUGGGGUAUAUGUGUCUUCUGUGUGGUGUACACACAAGUAGGUAUAUGUGUCCACGUGCAUAUAUGCAGAGGCCAGAGCAGGGUAUCAGGUGUCCUCUAUCACUUGCCCUGAGACCGUCUCUCACAGAAACUGGGGCUAGGCUGACCCCCUCCUGUCUCUACCUCCCACAGGGGUGGGGUUAUAGAUACUUUUUUACAAUGAUGCUGAGAUCUGCAUUUCAGACCCUCAUGGUUGCGGUGUGUGAAGCAAAUCUUGAUUGUCAACUUGAUUUUCCUGGAGAGAGGGGCCUCAACUGAGGAAUGACCUCCAGCGUAUUGGCCCAUGGAUGACUGGCAGUUGUAACCAAGGGAGAGCUCCAAGACAACAGUGUGUUACACUCGAAUAAACAAGGUGCCCCUGGAUGGUGAAGACGGCUGUGUGAACCGAGAGAGGAGCAGAAAAUGGAGGUCUUUCCUGAGAAUCGAGAAAAGAUGCC